CCUACGGGAGUCAGCAGUGAGGAAUAUUGGUCAAUGGGCGGAAGCCUGAACCAGCCAAGUAGCGUGCGGGAUGAAGGCCCUACGGGUCGUAAACCGCUUUUGCACGGGGAUAACACCCUCCACUUGUGGAGGUCUGCAGGUACCGUGCGAAUAAGGGCCGGCUAAUUACGGGCCAGCAGCCGCGGUAAUACGGAAGGCCCGAGCGUUAUUCGGAUUCAUUGGGCUUAAAGGGAGCGUAGGCGGGCGUUCAAGUCAGCUGUAAAAUCGCGCGGCUCAACCGCGCCCCGCAGUUGAAACUGGACGCAUUGAGUUCACAACAGGCAGGCGGAAUUCGUGGUGUAGCGGUGAAAUGCAUAGAUAUCACGAGGAACCCCGAUUGCGAAGGCAGCCUGCCGGGGUGCGACUGACGCUGAGGCUCGAAGGUGCGGGUAUCAAACAGGAUUAGAUACCCCUGUAGUC
rnacentral:rRNA from 1 species